CCCCAUCCUCCUAAACCUGUGGAUACAAAUGCAGAUUUCCUUAAUGUUCAAUGGUGCGUGUUCUUCUAAUGGCCGCCUUCCCACUGGAGGUUUUGAUCCACAGCAAUUUAAAAGGUAAACAGCUUUGAAAGUCAGUUCAAAUGGUUAGCUAAUAGUAUUCUAAAAAGCCUACAACUCUGUCACCAGU